rnacentral:rRNA from 1 species
GACGAACGCUGGCGGCGUGCUUAACACAUGCAAGUCGAACGGAAAGGCCCUGCUUUUGUGGGGUGCUCGAGUGGCGAACGGGUGAGUAACACGUGAGUAACCUGCCCUUGACUUUGGGAUAACUUCAGGAAACUGGGGCUAAUACCGGAUAGGAGCUCCUGCUGCAUGGUGAGGGUUGGAAAGUUUCGGCGGUUGGGGAUGGACUCGCGGCUUAUCAGCUUGUUGGUGGGGUAGUGGCUUACCAAGGCUUUGACGGGUAGCCGGCCUGAGAGGGUGACCGGCCACAUGGGGACUGAGAUACGGCCAAGACUCCUACGGGAGGCAGCAGUGGGGAAUAUGGCACAAGGGGCGGAAGCCGGAUGCAGAAACGCCGCGUGCGGGAUGACGGCCUUCGGGUGGUAAACCGCUUUCGCCUGUGACGAAGCGUGAGUGACGGUAAUUGGUAAAGAAGCACCGGCUAACUACGUG